ensembl:snoRNA
AGCACUUUGUGUGUGUGUUUCUUCAGCUAGUGGACAAAUACAUGAAAAAAGGUGCAAAAAUAAUCCCUAUUUGCAACCCAGAACUCAUUUUUCAAUAUGAGUUUUGAUAUAUACAAGAAGGAAUAUG